UUAAUAUAGAUAGUAAUUAAAAGGUCUGCUAGUCUAAAUUUCUAUUUUGAUUGGUCUUUUGAUGUUUUAUUUAAAACCCACUCUUUUCUUUACUCAACAGGCUAUUUUUACAUGGAGGUAAUCUUCUAUUGAUAAUUUCUGGAUUUUAAUUAUGCCUGUUGAAUUCACCUCAGAUCAGUGUUGCUGUAAUUCCUGAUCUAUGGAAAGAAGAAUUGGAUGAGUGAGCAACACCCCAACUACAGGGCCUGUUCUUUCUCUUCUCAUAAUUUAACUGGAUUAUCUGUUGAAUUUGUUUCUUCCUCUGACU